rnacentral:rRNA from 1 species
GAGGACGGCCGGUCCGCACUAUGUGCGUGUAUCUGGUUCGGCCUUGGCAUCCUCUUGAGGAACGUUCCUGCGCUUGAUUGCGUGGGGCGGUAUUCAAGACUUUUACUUUGAGGAAAUUAGAGUGUUCACGGCAGGCAAGCGCCUUGAAUACAUUAGCAUGGAAUAAUAAUAUAGGAUCUUGGUUCUAUUUGUUGGUUUCUAGGGCUAAGGUAAUGAUUAAUAGGGAUAAUUGGGGGCAUUUGUAUUAACGCGUCAGAGGUGGAAUUCUUGGAUUGCGUUACGACAAACUACUGCGAAAGCAUUUGCCAAGGAUGUUUUCAUUGAUCAAGAACGAAAGUAUGGGGAUCGAAGAUGAUUAGAUACCGUCGUAGUCUAUACCAUAAACUAUGCCGACUAGGGAUUGGAGGUCGUUCUUUUUAUGACUCCUUCAGCACCUUAUGAGAAAUCAAAGUCUUUGGGUUCCGGGGGGAGUAUAGUCGCAAGGCUGAAACUUAAAGGAAUUGACGGAAGGGCACCACCAGGAGGGGAGCCUGCGGUUUAAUUUGACCUCAACACGGGGAA